CCUACGGGAGGCUGCAGUGAGGAAUAUUGGUCAAUGGGCGCGAGCCUGAACCAGCCAAGUAGCGUGAAGGAUGACUGCCCUACGGGUUGUAAACUUCUUUUAUAAAGGAAUAAAGUGAGGCACGUGUGCCUUUUUGUCUGUACUUUAUUACUAAGGAUCGGCUAACUCCGUGCCAGCAUCCGCGGUAAUACGGAGGUUCCGAGCGUUAUCCGGAUUUAUUGGGUUUAAAGGGAGCGUAGAUGGGUUGUUAAGUCAGUUGUGAAAGUUUGCGGCUCAACCGUAAAAUUGCAAGUGAUACUGGCAGUCUUGAGUACAGUUGAGGUAGGCGGAAUUCGUGGUGUAGCGGUGAAAGGCUUAGAUAUCACGAAGAACUCCGAUUGCGAAGGCAGCUUACUAAACUGCCACUGACAUUGAUGCUCGAAAGUGUGGGUAGCAAACAGGAUUAGAUACCCUGGUAGUC
rnacentral:rRNA from 1 species